AGGUGACCCUCUUUGCGUACUUGAACCCGCUGAGGGUGGUGUCUAGUACUUAUCUGCUGAUAAUUGGCUUGAAAUAAACGAAGAAGAGUUAGUCGGCUUUGUUUUUGUUCAAACAAAAAAAAGCGAGAUCAUGUCACUGCAGUGCACGUGGUGGUGAAGUUGGUAGGCGAAAUACUGGUUGUGGUACUGAGAUUAGUCUGAGAUGUUGGCCUGGUGGUCUCUGUCUCUCGAAAUAUCCAUUGGAGAUCUGGAUGUUGGUGAAUACAUUGUUCCAGUUCCUUAUGUGAAAACAGGUCAAGGUUCAAAAUUGUUGAACUCUUUCGUCAAUUGUAGUUUUGGCUCUAGCUAAAAUUGUCUCAAGUAUU